GACGAACGCUGGCGGCGUGCUUAACACAUGCAAGUCGAACGGAGUGGCGCACGGGUGCGUAACACGUGGGUGACCUGCCCUGCACUUCGGGGUACGCCUGGGAAACUGGGUCUAAUCCCGGAUAGGGUGGGAUGGGCCCGCGGCCUAUCAUCGUGUUGGUGGGGUAAGGGCCUACCAAGGCGGCGACGGGUAGCCGGCCUGCGAGUGUGGACGGCCACAUUGGGACUGGGACACGGCCCAGACUCCUACGGGAGGCAGCAGUGGUGAAUAUUGCACAAUGGGCGGAAGCCUGAUGCAGCGACGCCGCGUGGGGGAUGACGGCCUUCGGGGUGUAAACUCCUUUCACCAUCGACGCGGUAGAUGGAGAAGAAGCACCGGCUAACUACGUGCCAGCAGCCGCGGUAAUC
rnacentral:rRNA from 1 species